rnacentral:lncRNA from 1 species
CAGAGAUGAGCCAUUUUCCUUUGUUUAAAAACAAUGAGUAGAAUAGGGUGUAUCGAUGACCUCAUAGAUGCAGCAGUGUGAUGGGGAGAACUUUGCCUCUGGAAUCAGACUGCACCAGCCCAAGUCCUACUUCCAUUCUCUAUCAUUUGUCCCAGCUUGAAUCCAAAGCUUUGCUGGGAGGAGGGAAGAGAGCAAAGAGCACAGGAGCCUGUGCUGGCCAUUGGGCACUGUGGUCAGGGAGGUUCCAGCAAGAUGGAAGGAAGAGCAGCCUUGGAAGACAGGGCCAUUGCUUCAGCUCAGAGCUGAGGGAGUUGGAGCAGAUAUAGAGAUUUUUAUGGGCAAGGAUUUUCACUGAAAUGUACGUACCACCUCUGAAAGCUUGAGAUCUUUCAUAGUUAAUAUUGGAAUAUCAACAGAUGUUUGUAGAAUGAAUGCAUGAAAUAUGCAGAAUUGUAACACAUCUGGAGUUCUGUAGGGCAAAAUACUGAACUAAUGUGUUAGUCACUUUCCUAGUUCUGGGACAAAAUACCCAACACCUAUAAUUUAAAGAAGGAG